rnacentral:rRNA from 1 species
GAUGAACGCUAGCUACAGGCUUAACACAUGCAAGUCGAGGGGCAGCAUUUCAGUUUGCUUGCAAACUGGAGAUGGCGACCGGCGCACGGGUGAGUAACACGUAUCCAACCUGCCGAUAACUCGGGGAUAGCCUUUCGAAAGAAAGAUUAAUACCCGAUGGUAUAAUCAGACCGCAUGGUCUUGUUAUUAAAGAAUUUCGGUUAUCGAUGGGGAUGCGUUCCAUUAGGCAGUUGGUGAGGUAACGGCUCACCAAACCUUCGAUGGAUAGGGGUUCUGAGAGGAAGGUCCCCCACAUUGGAACUGAGACACGGUCCAAACUCCUACGGGAGGCAGCAGUGAGGAAUAUUGGUCAAUGGGCGCAGGCCUGAACCACCCAAGUAGCGUGAAGGAUGACUGCCCUAUGGGUUGUAAACUUCUUUUAUAUGGGAAUAAAGUUUUCCACGUGUGGAAUUUUGUAUGUACCAUAUGAAUAAGGAUCGGCUAACUCCGUGCCAGCAGCCGCGGUAAUACGGAGGAUCCGAGCGUUAUCCGGAUUUAUUGGGUUUAAAGGGAGCGUAGGUGGACAGUUAAGUCAGUUGUGAAAGUUUGCGGCUCAACCGUAAAAUUGCAGUUGAUACUGGCUGUCUUGAGUACAGUAGAGGUGGGCGGAAUUCGUGGUGUAGCGGUGAAAUGCUUAGAAAUCACGAAGAACUCCGAUUGCGAAGGCAGCUCACUGGACUGCAACUGACACUGAUGCUCGAAAGUGUGGGUAUCAAACAGGAUUAGAUACCCUGGUAGUCCACACAGUAAACGAUGAAUACUCGCUGUUUGCGAUAUACAGUAAGCGGCCAAGCGAAAGCAUUAAGUAUUCCACCUGGGGAGUACGCCGGCAACGGUGAAACUCAAAGGAAUUGACGGGGGCCCGCACAAGCGGAGGAACAUGUGGUUUAAUUCGAUGAUACGCGAGGAACCUUACCCGGGCUUAAAUUGCAUUUGAAUAUAUUGGAAACAGUAUAGCCGUAAGGCAAAUGUGAAGGUGCUGCAUGGUUGUCGUCAGCUCGUGCCGUGAGGUGUCGGCUUAAGUGCCAUAACGAGCGCAACCCUUAUCUUUAGUUACUAACAGGUCAUGCUGAGGACUCUAGAGAGACUGCCGUCGUAAGAUGUGAGGAAGGUGGGGAUGACGUCAAAUCAGCACGGCCCUUACGUCCGGGGCUACACACGUGUUACAAUGGGGGGUACAGAAGGCAGCUACCUGGUGACAGGAUGCUAAUCCCAAAAGCCUCUCUCAGUUCGGAUCGAAGUCUGCAACCCGACUUCGUGAAGCUGGAUUCGCUAGUAAUCGCGCAUCAGCCAUGGCGCGGUGAAUACGUUCCCGGGCCU